CUCAUUCUCCUUUCUUCUCCAUUCUUUUGAUUUUUUAAGAAACAGCCGAUUCUCGGCACAGAGUAGCUAAAAUUGAGAUAUUCAGCAGAAGAACUUCAUGAGCUGGUUAUUAGGUUAUCGAAUUAGGUCAUCUCAAGCUAAUGUAUUGUUUUGGGAAUUAUGUGAAAAUGUUUUUCUAUUGAGAAAGUUUCUCAUGAAGAUUUGCAUUCAGAGUAUGCUUACGAAGAAGAUGAUGUUUAUGUAAUGAAGAAGAAAAUGAUGAAUAGAGGAAGAUAGUAAAGUGAUUUCAGAAUGCAUUUUGGGUUUAUACACCUUGUGGUAUGGACACAUAUUGUGCUUCACAGUCUUUGCAUUUAUCGGAUAUAGAAGAUGACCAAGGAUACUAUAGUUCAGAGGUUCGGUUGAGGUCGAAUUUCUACGAUUACUUUUUCGGUGUGUUGGCUACAUAUUAUUGGUUUUUUGGUUAUGGGUAUAUCCUUAUUUGCUGGAUAAGAAUUUUCUGGUACUGCAGCAAUCUUAUUUGUUGGAAAUCCAAAGGAUACAUUGCCUACUAAUUGCACAGACGUUUAUCUACCCAUCCACCAAUCCAUUUUCGGCAUUUACCGAAGUUUCUCCUCCUUUGUUUACUCGUUAAUUUUUUAAGUCUUUUGUUCACGUUUGCUAAGGCUGCAUUCACUCCAAUGCACCCAUUUGAUUUUUACUUGACCAUUCUUUAAAUCCACACCGAUCUUUCCAUCUCGCUCUACGUUAGCCGUUUCGUAUGGCCCAGUUGCGAGUCUUGAAUCUCCUAAUUCUAUCUCUGUGUAUGCAUGUGUUUGAACAGUAUUUAGUUAGUACGUACUUAGUAAGUUUAACAACUACAUAUACAGAAAAACACAGGAAAAAGAAGUACGGGGAGUCUUGGGUGUGAUUGCGAUUUCGGUCAAGCACAACGGCAAAUAGAUUUCAUUUUUUUCUCAUUUUGACUUAUUGUGUUGACGACGAACAUAUGAUUGUACUCUUUAUACCCGUUAUGUCGUCGUGAAAAUGGUUCCAACAUUAUUUGUUAAUAUUGAAACCAACAAAAAAAAGUUGCAUAACUUGUCAUGC